ACUCAAAUGAAUUGACGGGUCCCCGCACAAGCGGCGGAGCAUGCGGCUUAAUUCGAUGCAACCCGAAGAACCUUACCUGGGUUUGACAUCACGGGAAAAGCUGUAGAAAUACAGUGUCCAUUAGGGCCCGUGACAGGUGGUGCAUGGCUGUCGUCAGCUCGUGUCGUGAGAUGUUGGGUUAAGUCCCGCAACGAGCGCAACCCUUGUCCUAUGUUGCCAGCGGUUCGGCCGGGGACUCAUAGGAGACUGCCGGGGAUAACUCGGAGGAAGGUGAGGACGACGUCAAGUCAUCAUGCCCCUUAUAUCCAGGGCUGCACGCAUGCUACAAUGGCCGGUACAACGGGCAGCGACCCCGCGAGGGUGAGCGAAUCCUAUAAAGCCGGUCCCAGUUCGGAUUGAAGUCUGCAACUCGACUUCAUGAAGCCGGAGUCGCUAGUAAUCGCGGAUCAGCAAAGCCGCGGUGAAUACGUUCUCGGGGAUUGUACACACCGCCCGU
rnacentral:rRNA from 1 species